rnacentral:rRNA from 1 species
ACGGGGCUUCGGCUCCGGCGCAGAGAGAGGCCCAAGUGAGAUUAGCUAGUUGGUGAGGUAAAGGCUCACCAAGGCGACGAUCUCUAGCUGUUCUGAGAGGAAGAUCAGCCACACUGGGACUGAGACUCGGCCCAGACUCCUACGGGAGGCAGCAGUGGGGGAAUAUUGCACAAUGGGGGAAACCCUGAUGCAGCCAUGCCGCGUGUGUGAAGAAGGCCUUCGGGUUGUAAAGCACCUUCAGUUGUGAGGAAAAGUUAGUAGUUAAUACCUGCUAGCCGUGACGUUAACAACAGAAGAAGCACCGGCUAACUCCGUGCCAGCAGCCGCGGUAAUACGGAGGGUGCGAGCGUUAAUCGGAAUUACUGGGCGUAAAGCGCACGCAGGCGGUUUGUUAAGCUAGAUGUGAAAGCCCCGGGCUCAACCUGGGAUGGUCAUUUAGAACUGGCAGACUAGAGUCUUGGAGAGGGGAGUGGAAUUCCAGGUGUAGCGGUGAAAUGCGUAGAUAUCUGGAGGAACAUCAGUGGCGAAGGCGACUCCCUGGCCAAAGACUGACGCUCAUGUGCGAAAGUGUGGGUAGCGAACAGGAUUAGAUACCCUGGUAGUCCACACCGUAAACGCUGUCUACUAGCUGUUUGUGAUUUUAAAUCGUGAGUAGCGAAGCUAACGCGCUAAGUAGACCGCCUGGGGAGUACGGCCGCAAGGUUAAAACUCAAAUGAAUUGACGGGGGCCCGCACAAGCGGUGGAGCAUGUGGUUUAAUUCGAUGCAACGCGAAGAACCUUACCUACACUUGACAUGCAGAGAACUUUCUAGAGAUAGAUUGGUGCCUUCGGGAACUCUGACACAGGUGCUGCAUGGCUGUCGUCAGCUCGUGUCGUGAGAUGUUGGGUUAAGUCCCGCAACGAGCGCAACCCUUGUCCUUAGUUGCCAGCAUUAAGUUGGGCACUCUAAGGAGACUGCCGGUGACAAACCGGAGGAAGGUGGGGACGACGUCAAGUCAUCAUGGCCCUUACGUGUAGGGCUACACACGUGCUACAAUGGCAUUUACAGAGGGAAGCGAGACAGUGAUGUGGAGCGGACCCCUUAAAGAAUGUCGUAGUCCGGAUUGGAGUCUGCAACUCGACUCCAUGAAGUCGGAAUCGCUAGUA